AUUGAACGCUGGCGGCAGGCCUAACACAUGCAAGUCGAGCGAGCGGCGGACGGGUGAGUAAGGUAUUGGGAUCUGCCUGAUGGAGGGGGAUAACUACUGGAAACGGUAGCUAAUACCGCAUACCAUACGAUGAACCGAUAUGGGAUUAGCUUGUAGGUGAGGUAAAGGCUUACCUAGGCGACGCUCCCUAGCUGGUCUGAGAGGAUGAUCAGCCACACUGGGACUGAGACACGGCCCAGACUCCUACGGGAGGCAGCAGUGGGGAAUAUUGCACAAUGGGCGCAAGCCUGAUGCAGCCAUGCCGCGUGUAUGAAGAAGGCCUUCGGGUUGUAAAGUACUUUCAGUCGGGAGGCGUUACCGACAGAAGAAGCACCGGCUAACUCCGUGCCAGCCGCCGCGGUAAUAC
rnacentral:rRNA from 1 species